rnacentral:rRNA from 1 species
UACGUAGGUGGCAAGCGUUGUCCGGAUUUACUGGGCGUAAAGAGCGCGCAGGCGGUCGUUCAAGUCGCGUGUGAAAGCCCCCGGCUCAACUGGGGAGGGUCACGCGAUACUGAUCGACUCGAAGGCAGGAGAGGGAAGUGGAAUUCCCGGUGUAGUGGUGAAGUGCGUAGAUAUCGAGAGGAACACCGGUGGCGAAGGCGGCCUUCUGGACAGUGACUGACGCUGAGACGCGAAAGCGUGGGGAGCAAGCAGG